rnacentral:rRNA from 1 species
UACGGAGGGUGCAAACGUUGCUCGGAAUCAUUGGGCGUAAAGCGCGUGUAGGCGGCUUGUUAAGUCGGGUGUGAAAGCCCUGGGCUCAACCCAGGAAGUGCGCCCGAAACUGGCGAGCUAGAGUACGGGAGAGGGUAGUGGAAUUCCCGGUGUAGAGGUGAAAUUCGUAGAUAUCGGGAGGAACACCAGUGGCGAAGGCGGCUACCUGGACCGAUACUGACGCUGAGACGCGAAAGCGUGGGUAGCAAACAGG